UACAGAGGUCUCAAGCGUUGUUCGGAUUCAUUGGGCGUAAAGGGUGCGUAGGCGGGUCUUUAAGUCAGGGGUGAAAUCCUGGAGCUCAACUCCAGAACUGCCUUUGAUACUGAAGAUCUUGAGUUCGGGAGAGGUGAGUGGAACUGCGAGUGUAGAGGUGAAAUUCGUAGAUAUUCGCAGGAACACCAGUGGCGAAGGCGGCUCACUGGCCCGAUACUGACGCUGAGGCACGAAAGCGUGGGGAGCGAACAGG
rnacentral:rRNA from 1 species